rnacentral:rRNA from 1 species
UACGGAGGGAGCUAGCGUUGUUCGGAAUUACUGGGCGUAAAGCGCACGUAGGCGGCUUUGUAAGUUAGAGGUGAAAGCCCGGGGCUCAACUCCGGAACUGCCUUUAAGACUGCAUCGCUUGAAUCCAGGAGAGGUGAGUGGAAUUCCGGAAGUGUAGAGGUGAAAUUCGUAGAUAUUCGGAAGGAACACCAGUGGCGAAGGCGGCUCACUGGACUGG